GGCUCAAUGGUCUAGUGGUAUGAUUCUUGCUUUGGGUGAAAUGCAACUUGGAUGCAAGAGGCCCCGCGUUCGAGUCGCGGUUGAGCCC